rnacentral:rRNA from 1 species
CGCGGAUCAGCACGCCGCGGUGAAUACGUUCCCGGGCCUUGUACACACCGCCCGUCACACCACGAGAGUUUGUAACACCCGAAGUCGGUGAGGUAACCGCAAGGAGCCAGCCGCCGAAGGUGGGACAGAUGAUUGGGGUGAAGUCGUAACAAGGUAGCCGUAUCGGAAGGUGCGGCUGGAUCACCUCCUUU